GACGAACGCUGGCGGCGUCGGAUUAGGCAUGCAAGUCGAACGGUAUCAUCCUUUCGGGGGUGAGAGAGUGGCGAACUGGUGAGUAACACGUAGGUUAUCUACCCUCAAGACGGGGACAACCCAGGGAAACUUGGGCUAAUACCGGAUGUGAGCAACUUUUAGUUGUUUGAAAGGUGGCGUAAGCUGUCGCUUGGGGAUGAGCCUGCGUCCUAUUAGUUAGUUGGUGAGGUAACGGCUCACCUAGGCAAUGAUAGGUAGGCGGCCUUAACGGGUGGUCGCCCACACUGGGAUUGAGAUACGGCCCAGACUCCUACGGGAGGCAGCAGUCGAGAAUAGUCUACAAUGGUCGGAAGACUGAUAGUGCGACGCCGCGUGAACGAUGAAUCCUUCGGGUGUAAAGUUCUUUUAUAUGUGAGCAGUGCUUCUUAUAUUAACAGUAUGGGGAGAGAGAUAUUAGCAUAUGAAUAAGCAACGGCUAACUCCGUGCCAGCAGCCGCGGUAAACUCGU
rnacentral:rRNA from 1 species